UACAGAGGGGGCAAGCGUUGUUCGGAAUUACUGGGCGUAAAGGGCGCGUAGGCGGCCUGCUAAGUCGAACGUGAAAUCCCCGAGCUCAACUCGGGAACUGCGUCCGAUACUGGCAGGCUUGAAUCCGGGAGAGGGAUGCGGAAUUCCAGGUGUAGCGGUGAAAUGCGUAGAUAUCUGGAGGAACACCGGUGGCGAAGGCGGCAUCCUGGACCGGUAUUGACGCUGAGGCGCGAAAGCCAGGGGGGCAAACGGG
rnacentral:rRNA from 1 species